rnacentral:rRNA from 1 species
GACGAACGCUGGCGGCGUGCUUAACACAUGCAAGUCGAACGGAAAGGCCCUGCUUUUGUGGGGUGCUCGAGUGGCGAACGGGUGAGUAACACGUGAGUAACCUGCCCUUGACUUUGGGAUAACUUCAGGAAACUGGGGCUAAUACCGGAUAGGAUCUCCUGCUGCAUGGUGGGGGUUGGAAAGUUUCGGCGGUUGGGGAUGGACUCGCGGCUUAUCAGCUUGUUGGUGGGGUAGUGGCUUACCAAGGCUUUGACGGGUAGCCGGCCUGAGAGGGUGACCGGCCACAUUGGGACUGAGAUACGGACCAGACUCCUACGGGAGGCAGCAGUGGGGAAUAUUGCACAAUGGGCGGAAGCCUGAUGCAGCAACGCCGCGUGCGGGAUGACGGCCUUCGGGUUGUAAACCGCUUUCGCCUGUGACGAAGCGUGAGUGACGGUAAUGGGUAAAGAAGCACCGGCUAACUACGUG